CCUGGUGGCCAGAGCAAGCGGGAACCACCCGAUCCCAUCCCGACCUCGGAAGUGAAACCGCUUAGCGCCGAUGAUAGUGCAGAUUACCUGUGCGAAAGUAGGGAACUGCCAGGC
rnacentral:rRNA from 1 species